GCCUGGAUGGGGUAGUGGUAUCCUGAGGGACUGUGGAUCCCUUGACGCGGGUUCAAUUCCCGCUCCGGGCC
rnacentral:tRNA from 1 species